CUGUCAUAUUGGCCAUAACUAGUGUCAUAUUCAUUGUACGCAUUGUCAUGGUGUUAUGGAAGCACAACAACAAACCGUUUUACGGAGAAGAGGAGCUCAUGUCUCCAGUGGACAUCGCCAGAACACAGAAGCUCAUCUUCAUGUAGGAAGAAGAGAGCCGAUGCGGAGAUUCACGUGCCCCCUUGUUUGAAUGUUGUUUUCCUAAACGUUUAAUGGCUGAGACGUGAUCAAACUCUCCCUGUGUUGGAUUCAUAAGGCUUUGCUUCAGAAAGACAUGUAGGUGAUGAUUUAGGCUAGUAGUGCCUUUGUACCGUACAGAUUGAGCUCAUAACCAUUGGCCAAGCUAAUGUCUUUUUCGAAAUCAUAUCAAUGACUGUGUGUGAUAAAACUAUGGACCGGCAUUCUCUCAUGACCGCAAUACUAAUUCAAUGGCAUUAAUGUGAUUGUGUUCUUUUUUUAAAUGUAUUUAGUUAACCUUUAACUUCCACCAUAUUGUUUUUAUACCAGGAUCUGAUCUGCCUUUUGUGUUUUGACGUUUUGUUUUAGGUGCUAUACUGUACAACAAUUUGGACUGCAUUUAUGUAUGAAUGAAGCUAUAGAAAUAAAGUGUAUUAUUAUACUUACCAACGCACUUGUCUGUAAAUGCUAUUGUGAUUUAACAAUAGUAAAUACAACCGUGUGCCACUGUGCAGUAGUAGGAGCACCCAUUGGUUAGACUCCAUGGGGAAAAAUAACCACACACACACAAACACAGUAAACCAUGAUACACUGACUGAAACAGUGCCAUCAUCCAAAGUCCAAUGCACCAGAUCCAAGAUAGUGUGUGUUUAUAAAAGAGUGUUGGUGUGUGAGGCAAGCGUUCUACAGUUGAUCGCUCGACAGGGAGGAUGUACCGCUCCCGUGUGUCUCCGUAUGGCCAGGGCAGUAUGGAGCGACAUCAUCACCAUGUGGUCCUACACGGUGUGUGUAUCGCUCUGGCCAUGUUUAGCCAGGUGGCUUCCGAGACCUUCCAUGUUCUAGCAUCAGGGACCAACUCUGGCGGUCUGUUUAUGACCACAUUGGACAAUGUCUCUGAGUCCUUUCCUCUGGAGGUGACCAUGGACUGCUGGGCAGACAACACCUGGAUCAUGCUCCGGCUAUGGAGCAGUGCUUGGCUCAUACACUCUCUUUUUACUGUGUUCCAGAGGAAUGUGUUUGGUCCAGUCUCCUGCAACCCUGAGAUUCACCCUCCGUCAUUCUAUCUGAUCUGGACUAUGAUCAACGUGGCAAAGAUCACCUGGCUGUUUCUCUGGGACAGGCAUGACCUUCUACCAUCCCUGUUUUUUAAAUGGGUUAUGCCAAUUCAUAGCUUCCAAAUGCUGUAUGUGUCCUACCGAAACCUGCACAAUCACAGAACCUGGCUGGCCAUCAAUAACCCUAAAGAACCCUGGUGGACCCGCUAUCUGACCCAGAACGGACUGGCUGUAUUUGGCUGGUGGACUCUCCUGGAGGCCCUGGUCAGUCUGGGAGUUGUGCUGAGGUACCAGGCUGGGCUACCUGAUCCUCUGGUCAGCUCAAUGGUGCUCACUCUACUUCUCCUGGGGAUGCUCAUCUGGUUUGUCUUUGAGAGCUUCAUAUUCUCCAAGUACAUCCGCUACACGUUUACUGUCUACCCUGUGUUGAUUGUGGGCCUGGGAGCCAUGUUCACCAGAAGCUAUCGUGUCCAUGACCUUGCUCCUAACACAGUCUACUGUGGCUUCCUUAUGCUUGCGGCAACUGUCCUGAACUGUAUCCGUUUGAUCGCUGCAUGCUUUUACCCAGAUGACACUUCCAGCUAUUUGACCAAGGAGCCCAACCGUCAACCUGACUUCUGCAAGACUGUAUGCCAACCGAUGGGGAAGGACAGCACGAUGGCUUCACAAACUGGUUUUGUGAAUCCUGUCUUCUGUAAUAACUUAGACAAUUAACAGAGGGUACGGUGUCCAUAUUAGGACAGAAACGACUCCUGUUGAGGAUUUACCCAAAGUGAAUUGUUUUGCAUGUAAAUAAUUUUGAUACUGAUUAAUGUUAUUUUCUGUAAGAAUGGACAUUGUUCUCUUGGUGAUGGAUAGCUAGAGCUUGAGUUAACUCUAAGCUUAGAGUGUUGACAUGCCUUCACAUUCAUCACGAACAAAUAGAUUCCAAACAGUCGCUUAACAAUUCAGAAUGUUGAAUAAACUUUAUUUGAACUCACUUUACCGGUUUUCACUGAGUUCGUCCUUAUUGUCGUUGUAAAUUUGAUGAUUUGAUGAUUCCCAAACAAAUUUCCUGAGUUUGAGCAAUUUUGACAAUCAUUGUUUUUCUACUUCUAAUACUCGAUGUGUCAAAAUAUCCAAUCGCACAGGUCGAGUGACAAAUGAGGUGAGCACCUCUCCUCCAUAAAGGGAGCCACUCGCUCACCAGCUGGUCAUUCUCACCUCUCUUCCUUGCGGAAGUGACUGCGUUCAUAAAAGCAUUCCUCAGCAUGGCUAGAUUCCUGGCUUCCUACUGAUGUUUAGAGGUUAAUGCUGCCGAACAUUGAACUUCAGCUCCUGUCGAUAGUAUUGAGUCAGUCUCCAUUUAGUCAGUCAUCAGUCUCCAUUUAGCUAGUGCCACACAGCUAGCUUUUGAGACUUGGUUAGCCCUAGGCGCAAGGCUUUAGCUAACUUGGCUAGCUAGCUGCAAGGCUAGUUUACCACACAAAGGACUAGCUAUCGCUGCAAGGCUUAACCUAGCCUGUGUAACUCACAAGGCUAGCUACACCAAACUAGCUUUUCUACCUACACAAGUAGAAUUGCUAGCUUUCCUCUCGCAUUUAGCACAAACCCCUCAUGGGCCAUGUUGACUAGACUGACAGCACUAGCUUCACAGCAUGACGAUCGAGAGACCCGCUUUGUUCGUGGAGAAACAAAGAAAGCACGCACUUUCUCUGGCUAGUAGUGUGCUAACGAGAUAGGCUAUUAGCCUUGAGGCGAAAGCUAGCUAGCUCACACUUUACUCAAGGAAUACUACUUCUCAGAUCCAUGGAGCCUGCUACCCAUGCACAGGGAGAACCUAGCAGGCCUCCUGCAGGGCGAUGAUAGCAGGCAAGGAUAUACACCAGAUAUGUAUCGCCUGCUUGGGUUUUGAGCAUGCUGUGGCAUCACUCGCUAACGCCAAGUUCUGCGUGCACUAUAGGGCACUGUCUGCAAACCCCCUUCACUGGCGAGUACACCAAGCAAACCCCAAACCAUACUUGUCACUAGUGAUGUUACAUUUGAUACCGGAGCUCCAAGGCAUUCGUGUCGAAAUCACUAUUCAGUGUACUUUGACCUCCUCCCUAUAGGCUGUCUCAUCAUUGUCGGUGAUCAGGCCUACCACUGUUGUGCAAACUUAAUAAUGGUGUUGGAGUCGUGCCUGGCCGUGCAGUUGUGAGUGAACAGGGAGUACAGGAGGAGGCUGAGCACGAACACCUGGGGGGGCCCCCGUGUUGAGGAUCAGCGUGACGGAGGUGUUACGUAUUCCAGGAUCCAGUUGCAGAGGGAGGUGUUUAGUCCCAGGGUCCUUAGCAAUGAGCUUUGAGGGCACUAUGGUGUUGAACUUUGAGCUGUAGUCAAAGAAUAGUAUUCUCAUAUAAGUGCUCUUUUUGUCCAGUUUGGACAAGCCUUUCAACGCAUUUCAUGGCUACAGACAUGAGUGCUAUGGGUCGGUAGUCAUUUAGGCAGGUUACCUUAGUGUUCUUGGGCACAUGACCUAUUCGUGGUCUGCUUGAAAGAUGUUGGUAUUACAAACUCCGACAGAGGUUGAAAAUGUCAGUGAAGACACUUGCCAGUUGGUCAGCGCAUGCUCGGAGUACAUGUCCUGGUAAUCCGUCUGGUCCAGCGGCCUUGUGAAUGUUGACUUGUUUAAAGGUCUUACUCACAUCGGCUGCGGAGAGCGGGUUCACACAGUCUUCUGGAACAGCUGAUGCUCUCAUGCAUGUUUCAGUGUUACUUGCCUCGAAGUGAGCAUAGUUAUUUAGCUCAUCUGGUAGGCUCGUGUCACUGGGCAGCUCUCGGCUGUGCUUCCAUUUGUUUCUACUCCAGGGAAGAGUCCUGGUUCCCAGGGGGGCAUUGCAUACGCUCCAUUCUGGACCUAAGGAUCCGCAACAGCGUCCAUCAUGUUCCGUAUACUUACAUACAAUGUGCUGUUUUGUUUUAUUUGUCAAGGCAACUGGUUCAGUUCAGCUGACCUACAGGGCGCUUAUUUUCAUAUAAGCAUUCUGCCAGCACACAGGAUUAUUUUCAGGUUUUCUUUCGAAGCACAGCCUACAAAUACCUUGCUGUUCCCUUCGGGCUAGCACUUGUUACCAGUUUGUUCAGCAAGUUUGUGGAAGCGUCUCUAUCACCCCUGAGAACCAGGGGGCUAAGAAUCUCCGCCUACACAGACAAUUACCAGCUUUGAUCCCCUACACAGUGUUGCCAGCGGUUGUUUCCUCGAAAGUGACAUUGAGUUUGAAUUUCAUCUCCAUCGUUUUGAAAGUGCUCUGGGAUUUUACAAAGAUCAUUCCUUGGUCAUCCAUGUUGAUGAUCAGACUGGGCUUGAUGUGGUUUCCCACCUGUCGGGUCGUGAAGCCAACACCUGCACAAUGGAGAACAAACUGUCAAGAGGGAUCCUUUGACAGUAUCGUGUGGUGCAACCAAAGGCAUUGUCCAUGUGUAAUAACUAUACAUAGAAAUGAUUAUCCUAAUGAGAUCUUAAGAUUGUAUCAGAAAUAUAUUCUUAAAAAAAAAAAAAAAACAUAUUUCAGCAAUCAAAUCAAAUCAAAUCAAAUUUUAUUUGUCACAUACACAUGGUUAGCAGAUGUUAAUGCGAGUGUAGCGAAAUGCUUGUGCUUCUAGUUCCGACAAUGCAGUAAUAACCAACAAGUAAUCUAGCUAACAAUUCCAGAACUACUGCCUUAUAGACACAAGUGUAAGGGGAUAAAGAAUAUGUACAUAAAGGUAUAUGAAUGAGUGAUGGUACAGAGAGGCAUAGGCAAGAUACAGUAGAUGGUAUUGAGUACAGUAUAUACAUAUGAGAUGAGUAUGUAAACAAAGUGGCAUAGUUAAAGUGGCUAGUGAUACAUGUAUUACAUAAAGAUGCAGUAGAUGAUAUAGAGUACAGUAUAUACGUAUACAUAUGAGAUGAAUAAUGUAGGGUAUGCAAACAUUAUAUUAGGUAGCAUUGUUUAAAGUUUAAAGUUGCUAGUGAUAUAUUUUACAUCAAUUCCCAUUAUUAAAGUGGCUGGAGUUGAGUCAGUGUGUUGGCAGCAGCCACUCAAUGUUAGUGGUGGCUGUUUAACAGUCUGAUGGCCUUGAGAUAGAAGCUGUUUUUCAGUCUCUCGGUCCCAGCUUUGAUGCACCUGUACUGACCUCGCCUUCUGGAUGAUAGCGGGGUGAACAGGCAGUGGCUCGGGUGGUUGUUGUCCUUGAUGAUCUUUAUGGCCUACCUGUGACAUUGAGUGGUGUAGGUGUCCUGGAGGGCAGGUAGUUUGCCCCCGGUGAUGCGUUGUGCAGACCUCACUACCCUCUGGAGAGCCUUACGGUUGUGGGCGGAGCAGUUGCCGUACCAGGCGGUGAUACAGCCCGCCAGGAUGCUCUCGAUUGUGCAUCUGUAGAAGUUUGUGAGUGCUUUUGGUGACAAGCCGAAUUUCUUCAGCCUCCUGAGGUUGAAGAGGCGCUGCUGCGCCUUCUUCACGAUGCUGUCUGUGUGGGUGGACCAAUUCAGUUUGUCUGUGAUGUGUACGCGAGGAACUUAAAACUUACUACCCUCUCCACUACUGUUCAAUCGAGGUGGAUAGGGGGGUGUUCCCUCUGCUGUUUCCUGAAGUCCACAAUCAUCUCCUUAGUUUUGUUGACGUUGAGUGUGAGGUUAUUUUCCUGACACCACACUCCGAGGGCCCUCACCUCCUCCCUGUAAGCCGUCUCGUCGUUGUUGGUAAUCAAGCCUACCACUGUUGUGUCGUCCGCAAACUUGAUGAUUGAGUUGGAGGCGUGCGUGGCCACACAGUCGUGGGUGAACAGGGGGUACAGGAGAGGGCUCAGAAUGCACCCUUGUGGGGCCCCAGUGUUGAGGAUCAGCAGGGUGGAGAUGUUGUUGCCUACCCUCACCACCUGGGGGCGGCCCGUCAGGAAGUCCAGUACCCAGUUGCAAAGGGCGGGGUCGAGACCCAGGGUCUCGAGCUUGAUGACGAGCUUGGCGGGCACUAUGGUGUUAAAUGCCGAGCUGUAGUCGAUGAACAGAAUCAUUGAAAAUUGUGUUUUACAUCAAUAAAAUUGUGUUUUACAUCAAUAAUUAUUGCAUGUUUUCUAAGCUCCAUUCCUGGUAGGCCUACACAUGCAUAGUAUUUUCUGUUGGUCAUGUCAUUUUACUGUUUGGAACUAAUUUAAUUGUUCGGUAGACAGUUGUUGUGCAAUAGUUAGUUGGCAAUUAAAUUAACCGAAAUAUGCAGCCCCUAUAAAAUUUUGUUGGGUAUCAUUGAUGGACAGCAAUAUUCAAACCUUGUCUUUGUUUUUCAAGUAGAUUUAAGUCAGGACUGAGACUGGACCAUUCAGGAACACUCAACACCUCUUGGAAAUCCAUUCUCGUGUUUCUAGGAUAGAGUUUAUUUUGCAGAAAGUGGCCUACACAAAUUUGAAUGCCAAAGACACACCAGAAUUGGCCUGGGUGGCAGUCUGUUUCUGCUCAAUUGCC
rnacentral:lncRNA from 1 species